GCCCCGCCCGGCCCCAACGGCCCCAACUCCCGUCUCCUCCCAGUCCCCCGGAGCCGACCAGUGGUGGCGGCAGCCCCAGGUCCCGGGUCCCUCAGACAAAAAGGCGGGUGGAGGAGGAGUAGCCGAGCCCAGAGUCCUGCUCCGGCGCCGCCGAGCACCGCCCGCCUCAGCCGACCAGCCCCGUCGGCUACUGGGCCUAGCCUAGAGGAGAGGAGGGAAAGGCCGCGGAGGCCGCGAGGAGACGGCUGGGGCGCCAGCGGCCGGCUGCCGCCUAGUUGUGCUGCCCGGACCAAGGAAGGAGAAGUGGGAGGAGCGGGGAGCUCAGCGGCUCAGGACGACGACGCUCGCCACAUCCGGGACCCUCCGGCCGUGGCGG
rnacentral:lncRNA from 1 species